CUUUUUUUUUUUUUCCAAUUGUAUGAAAUAUAAAAUAGAAAAAAAAAAAAAAGAAUUCAAAAACUUGGAAUCAGUUGCCUGGCAGUGAUAAAUCACCUCUGGAAAAAGAGAGGAGUAACAAGAAAGGGAAACAGGAGUGGGACAUGGUGAUACACCAUUGCAUUAGGACUCUAAUUGGGCCUCACCUCAUAGAUGCUCUACAGCAUCCUGAAAUGUCUGAGUCUCUCCUCUGCUGAAAUCAGGAGUUUCUGUGUGAAACUGCUUCCCUAGAUCUGAGCAGCCCUGUGUUUGUGUCACCUUCCUGCCCAGGGGAGGGGUGACCUGGCCUCUGCAGUGUGAGGCAGUGAUUCCCCCUGCUCCCAGUGGUGCCAGGAAUGCAGUUUCCCAUCUUCCUUCCUUCCUUGCACACCUGGGCAAGUCAGGGAUGGCAGGAGGCUUUGACUUGGUCGAGCUCCCAGGGAGUGCUGAGAACAGGACCCAGAUUUGCUGUCUCUCACUCUCAGGCUCAAUCUGCUACUGUUCAGCACCCGCCUUAUUUAUCCCACCUCAUGCUUGGUUAGAAGCACAAGUAGAUGAAUUUUCUAUUCAGGUUGUUAAUAUGCUGCAGCCUCCUCGCAUGUUUCCUCUUGCUGUUUCAGGGAAUAUACAAACUUGUCCUGAAUAUUUAAGGAAAGCCAAGAGGAGGUCAGCUCAAAGCUGUAUCUAAUCCUGUCUGCUGCACUGACAGUUCUUGGCAGAGGGGGCUAAAGGAGGAUGAUAAAUCCCAGGAUCCUAAGGAAGUGCCCAGACGUCCCAAGUGUUGCUGGGCCUGACUUGUUAGAGUGAGGUUGAUGCAGCUUAUGCCCAGGUUGUACCUGGACCUGAUGAAGCCAGGCUGGAUUUCCAGAGCUCGUGUGUAAGCCUCCACAGCCUCCUCACUGCGGUCCCCGUUGGCCAAGGUUGCCCCAAGGCGGUUCCACAACGUAUAGUCCUGGGAUGGCAUAAAAGAUAAAGCCUUCAGUCAUUAAAUGAGGAUAACCACUGCAUUUACCUUUCAUCUGCUGUCUUAGACAUCCUCCUGGUAAGUGCUGGGGACCCUUUUUUGCUUC